rnacentral:rRNA from 1 species
UUAAGCGACUAAGCGUACACGGUGGAUGCCCUGGCAGUCAGAGGCGAUGAAGGACGUGCUAAUCUGCGAUAAGCGUCGGUGAGGUGAUAUGAACCGUUAUAACCGGCGAUUUCCGAAUGGGGAAACCCAGUGUGUUUCGACACACUAUCAUUAACUGAAUCCAUAGGUUAAUGAGGCGAACCGGGGGAACUGAAACAUCUAAGUACCCCGAGGAAAAGAAAUCAACCGAGAUUCCCCCAGUAGCGGCGAGCGAACGGGGAGGAGCCCAGAGCCUGAAUCAGUGUGUGUGUUAGUGGAAGCGUCUGGAAAGGCGUGCGAUACAGGGUGACAGCCCCGUACACAAAAAUGCACAUAUUGUGAGCUCGAUGAGUAGGGCGGGACACGUGGUAUCCUGUCUGAAUAUGGGGGGACCAUCCUCCAAGGCUAAAUACUCCUGACUGACCGAUAGUGAACCAGUACCGUGAGGGAAAGGCGAAAAGAACCCCGGCGAGGGGAGUGAAAAAGAACCUGAAACCGUGUACGUACAAGCAGUGGGAGCCUCUUAAUGGGGUGACUGCGUACCUUUUGUAUAAUGGGUCAGCGACUUAUAUUCUGUAGCAAGGUUAACCGAAUAGGGGAGCCGAAGGGAAACCGAGUCUUAACUGGGCGUUAAGUUGCAGGGUAUAGACCCGAAACCCGGUGAUCUAGCCAUGGGCAGGUUGAAGGUUGGGUAACACUAACUGGAGGACCGAACCGACUAAUGUUGAAAAAUUAGCGGAUGACUUGUGGCUGGGGGUGAAAGGCCAAUCAAACCGGGAGAUAGCUGGUUCUCCCCGAAAGCUAUUUAGGUAGCGCCUCGUGAAUUCAUCUCCGGGGGUAGAGCACUGUUUCGGCAAGGGGGUCAUCCCGACUUACCAACCCGAUGCAAACUGCGAAUACCGGAGAAUGUUAUCACGGGAGACACACGGCGGGUGCUAACGUCCGUCGUGAAGAGGGAAACAACCCAGACCGCCAGCUAAGGUCCCAAAGUCAUGGUUAAGUGGGAAACGAUGUGGGAAGGCCCAGACAGCCAGGAUGUUGGCUUAGAAGCAGCCAUCAUUUAAAGAAAGCGUAAUAGCUCACUGGUCGAGUCGGCCUGCGCGGAAGAUGUAACGGGGCUAAACCAUGCACCGAAGCUGCGGCAGCGACACUAUGUGUUGUUGGGUAGGGGAGCGUUCUGUAAGCCUGUGAAGGUGGCCUGUGAGGGUUGCUGGAGGUAUCAGAAGUGCGAAUGCUGACAUAAGUAACGAUAAAGCGGGUGAAAAGCCCGCUCGCCGGAAGACCAAGGGUUCCUGUCCAACGUUAAUCGGGGCAGGGUGAGUCGACCCCUAAGGCGAGGCCGAAAGGCGUAGUCGAUGGGAAACAGGUUAAUAUUCCUGUACUUGGUGUUACUGCGAAGGGGGGACGGAGAAGGCUAUGUUGGCCGGGCGACGGUUGUCCCGGUUUAAGCGUGUAGGCUGGUUUUCCAGGCAAAUCCGGAAAACCAAGGCUGAGGCGUGAUGACGAGGCACUACGGUGCUGAAGCGACAAAUGCCCUGCUUCCAGGAAAAGCCUCUAAGCAUCAGGUAACAUCAAAUCGUACCCCAAACCGACACAGGUGGUCAGGUAGAGAAUACCAAGGCGCUUGAGAGAACUCGGGUGAAGGAACUAGGCAAAAUGGUGCCGUAACUUCGGGAGAAGGCACGCUGAUAUGUAGGUGAAGCGACUUGCUCGUGGAGCUGAAAUCAGUCGAAGAUACCAGCUGGCUGCAACUGUUUAUUAAAAACACAGCACUGUGCAAACACGAAAGUGGACGUAUACGGUGUGACGCCUGCCCGGUGCCGGAAGGKUAAUUGAUGGGGUUAGCGGUAACGCGAAGCUCUUGAUCGAAGCCCCGGUAAACGGCGGCCGUAACUAUAACGGUCCUAAGGUAGCGAAAUUCCUUGUCGGGUAAGUUCCGACCUGCACGAAUGGCGUAAUGAUGGCCAGGCUGUCUCCACCCGAGACUCAGUGAAAUUGAACUCGCUGUGAAGAUGCAGUGUACCCGCGGCAAGACGGAAAGACCCCGUGAACCUUUACUAUAGCUUGACACUGAACAUUGAGCCUUGAUGUGUAGGAUAGGUGGGAGGCUUUGAAGUGUGGACGCCAGUCUGCAUGGAGCCGACCUUGAAAUACCACCCUUUAAUGUUUGAUGUUCUAACGUUGGCCCGUAAUCCGGGUUGCGGACAGUGUCUGGUGGGUAGUUUGACUGGGGCGGUCUCCUCCUAAAGAGUAACGGAGGAGCACGAAGGUUGGCUAAUCCUGGUCGGACAUCAGGAGGUUAGUGCAAUGGCAUAAGCCAGCUUGACUGCGAGCGUGACGGCGCGAGCAGGUGCGAAAGCAGGUCAUAGUGAUCCGGUGGUUCUGAAUGGAAGGGCCAUCGCUCAACGGAUAAAAGGUACUCCGGGGAUAACAGGCUGAUACCGCCCAAGAGUUCAUAUCGACGGCGGUGUUUGGCACCUCGAUGUCGGCUCAUCACAUCCUGGGGCUGAAGUAGGUCCCAAGGGUAUGGCUGUUCGCCAUUUAAAGUGGUACGCGAGCUGGGUUUAGAACGUCGUGAGACAGUUCGGUCCCUAUCUGCCGUGGGCGCUGGAGAACUGAGGGGGGCUGCUCCUAGUACGAGAGGACCGGAGUGGACGCAUCACUGGUGUUCGGGUUGUCAUGCCAAUGGCACUGCCCGGUAGCUAAAUGCGGAAGAGAUAAGUGCUGAAAGCAUCUAAGCACGAAACUUGCCCCGAGAUGAGUUCUCCCUGACUCCUUGAGGGUCCUGAAGGAACGUUGAAGACGACGACGUUGAUAGGCCGGGUGUGUAAGCGCAGCGAUGCGUUGAGCUAACCGGUACUAAUGAACCGUGAGGCUUAACCUU